UGUGUGUGGUCCUGCUGGGCAAAGGUUUUGUGCAGUUAAGCUGUCCCGCACAAUAUUAAAAAAUCAAGGUUUAUCUGUUUUUGUCUGCACACCAGCCUUACACAGUUUUGCCAUGUUGGCAUAGUUGUUUAAAAUGAAUCCAGAAAAUGGUUUAUGUGAGUAUGUGGAGGAAAGCCUGUGCAGGCUUAAUCACAAAAAGUGAAUGUGGGGUGGACCAGGGAAAACCAUUCACUGUGUUGGCACUGAAACAAUAGCUUUUCAGCAAAACACAGUGGCAGCCUUCAUGUUUAUGUUCAGGGCUUUCAGUUUUCUCUAGGUAUAAGAAUAUAUAUAUGUGUGUGAAUGGAGCCCACAGUCAGAUAUUUUAUUUCUGAAUUGAUUCUUUUUAAAACAGAAUCCUUAAUUUCUAACAGGAAAUGGCUGUUUCUGUUCCUGGUUACACUUCUGCUCUGCUUUCCUUGUUGUGUGGAAAGCUGGGAGAUGUCAUUAGCCUCCCAGAAAGGUUCUGUCCAUGAGUGAGGAGGUAAAACCUGGCAUCACAUUAGACGUUAAUGUUUAGAAAACAGAAGAACGCUCCUCUAUGUUACAGAAACGCCUAUACUAGAGCAUUUAAGUGCCUUACUAAUCGUGACCUCUAACCGAGUGAAACAAGAAUAUGAAGAAAUGUGAUAUAUGCACCCUGAAAUGUGAUAAGAUUAACAUCAUGAAUUAAAGUCCUUUUUAAUUGAUUUUUGUACUGUGCUUAACAGUACAAGUCUUUUUUUUUUUUUCUUUUUUUUAUAACAAAAUUAAAUGCUUUUUAUAGAAAUAAUUUUUCAAAUGUUAAACACUACAUAU